UAUCUACAGUGCCAUGCUAGUGAGU
rnacentral:misc_RNA from 1 species